rnacentral:lncRNA from 7 species
ACCACGCAUAAAAAGCUACGGCAUGCGUUUUUAUUGCAUACCUGUAGAAGGAAGUGGAGAGUGCACUAGAGUAAUUUCUUAUACCUGAUAACAGCACAAAACAAGCUGAUACGGAUUCAUGGCAUGUGGUUUUUAUUUUUGGGAACAACUACAUCUGUUUUUCAAACAAGAACAAUGGCAAGCAUGCAUGACAUUUCAGACUUGUUAUUCUUUUUAUUUCCUUAAGGUUUUUAUUUUGGGAAGAAAUACAUAUGUUUUUCAAACAUGAACAGUGGCAAGCAUGACAUUUCAGACUUGUUAUUCUUCAUUUUUUUUAUGUCCUGAAUAGCUCAAUCUGUUUUCCUCUUAAAUAAGCACAGCUUUGACAUCCAUGAUCCACCCCAAAAGAAAACAAGGGACAAAAGAAAAUUAUUUGGACAUAGAAGACCUCUCUUUUGUAGAUUUUUCUCAGUACAUUUUU